ACGCUCGACACCUACGGAGGCAGCAGUGGGGAAUAUUGCACAAUGGGGGAAACCCUGAUGCAGCGACGCCGCGUGAGCGAAGAAGUAUUUCGGUAUGUAAAGCUCUAUCAGCAGGGAAGAAACUGACGGUACCUGACUAAGAAGCACCGGCUAAAUACGUGCCAGNACGCGAGUAUNGNGGCGGCGUGGACGAAGGC
rnacentral:rRNA from 1 species